AAACGAGUCCAAUUGCUAAUCGAAAGUAAUCGCCUAUUUUUGCUAAGUGAAAGCUCAGAAAUUUUGUGUGAGGUUAAGGUAGUGCCACCUCUAUCCCGGUACUACUUCUCCUAAAUAAUGAAAUGUUGCGGGUACGAAAUUGGUUCUGGGAAUGAAAUUCCUCAGAGAUGGAUGACUGCUGCCAAAACAAGACGGUAGACAGAUAAAAACAAAUCCGGAAACCGCUGACGGAAGUUUAUCAGAGGCACCAGAAUUUAAAAACAGAAAAAGGUCCCCAAUAACUAGAAGACGAAAGCCGACUCAUAAUGGAAACUCAUCACCUCGAUAAUUAAAAGAUGUCUUCCAUCCAGGCUUGGUUCCGGUUGAGGAGUGGUGGAGCCAUUCUAGGCUACAGAAGGGCCAAAUAAUCUCAGGAAAACAUAAUUUGCAGCUUUUUUAAAAUUUAACGAAAUAUGUCAUUUUUACCGGUUCACCGGUUAUUUUUCAAAAAUGUGCACCUCCAUAAUUAAUAUUGUAUUAUGACUUUUGGGAUAUGGAAAUAUUGUAAUUAAAAAUAAAUUUCUUCUGUUGUUCAAAA